AAAAAAAAAAAAAAAAAAAAAAAAAAAAGUGAAACAAAAUUUGACUCAUUCCUAGGCCAGAGGACAUGAAGUAAAAGCAUUUAAAUGCAUAAGCUACCAAAUAUGAAUUGAUAUUUGUAAACAUCUCCAGAGUCAUUUUUGUGAACCUUGUUAUACAUCUUCAUAAAUGUAAGGAAGUUAAGAUAGGGAAAUUAGUUAUGCUUUUGAAUAUGAAUACUGCCCACAUAACACAUGAAUUAAUAGAUACAGAUUUUUCCAGCACCAAAGGCAAGACGCAUCUCUGUGAUUCAGACUAGAUUAAAUUCCCAUUUCCUUACCCCAGAGGAAGUACAUGGGCUGAAUUCUUGAAAAAAAGUCAUCAAGUUAUUGGUAAUACUAAAUUUUAUGUUGUGCAGAUGUCCUCCAAAAACAUUCUACUGAAAUGUUAAAGUUCUGGUAAGGAAUAAUAAAUAACCAGUGAACACUCUUCUCUCCAUGUUGAAAAAAAAAAAAAACAGGAAAAUUUCCUGAGUAACAAAAACAGUGGGUUUCAUUUAGACUGCAGUAAACAGGACGCAGUUUGUGUGUUUCUUUUGAUCUGGUUCAGUAACUUCCAAUAGAAAAUGUAGUCCACAGCAAAUAGAACACAAGCUCCCUUACCGCUUUGGGGUGUAGACUAAUAUCAUGUCAUUGCUUAUGUUUCUAACCUAUAGCAAUAAGGUGACCUCUGCAAAUGUUGAUUUUAAGAGCAAUGCCAUCAUAUCUCAUCCUUUAAACCCAAUAAAAGAGAGGCUCUUCCUAAAACACAGUUUGAGCUUUGGUCCUGGAGAACAUGGGCACCUGUUUGAGCUCAGCCCCCUCCUGCUUCCAGAAAUGGCCCUGUCCAUGGGAUCCGUGAGUGUCUUGCAGGCACUGGACUAGGUUGACCAGCCGUGGCUUGAGAAGUGGGUAGUGAGGAAGAGGGGAAGGAGCUAGAGCUCCUGGACUCGUUGUAGGGAGAUCUCUGUUCACCACCUUGCAUUGAGAAAAUCAGAUUGUUAGAUGUUGAAGAAGCACUGCUUGCCUUCACUAAACUCACUCUCCUAGAGGAGACAGAUGGCCAUGAAUUCCCUCUCCGGAUACUCGUAAAGGCCAUUUUUGCACGGACUCAAAGUCCUGUUUUGGCAUUUUUUAAAAAUUCUUUUUGGCAUAUGCUGAACAUAUUGGAGGAAAUCAUACUUGAACUUUAACACAAGCUACGCUGGACACAACCUGAAUUAAUAAUAGCCAUGGAUUUCUUUCAAAAACGAUUGGACUGUAUACAGGGCCUGCAUAGUAGACCACAAUCACAGCAUUCUCAGAGCCUGAGAAUGGUACUUAAAGGAGGUUGUAUUUGGAAUUUAUAAUGAAUUUUUUCAUGAUAUAAUUUUUAGUUUCCUUAACAGUUGGCCUCUAUUAAGAAUGCUGUCUAAAGUAGAAAUCACCAUCAAAUUAGCAAUCACAUUAUUAUUUAAUGAUUAGAGAUUUUGUCUAAAAUCUCUUUUGGCCUUAAAUAUCAAUUUGUAAUUAUGUUCAUGUCACUGCUGUCAGAGAUGCCUUUUCCAGGAUGUAAUCUCACUCCUAUCUCUCGCUCCCCUUGUCGUCUCCCUCACACGUUGUCACACGUGCUGUGUACACACAGAGAACACCCUGUGUACACAGUGGCAGCUGUCAGCAGCACCCACUGCAGCUGGGUGGGCCCCAGGUAAUCCUCUGUGCAAAGUGGCUAGAACAGGCUGUUCCUGCAUUAACAUAGGAGAAAAGGAAGAAUUUAGUAUCUGGUAAUAAUAUUUAUUUUCAUGUGUUUGAAGUAACCACAUGACUUAUACAUAGUUAAAUGAGGCAGAGGCCUCAAAGAGUUGUCGGCAUUUGUUUCACAUUAAAUCAAUUUAAAAUUAAAUUAAUUAGAACUAAACUUGGAGGUGUAGUUGUGCCUCUCGGUAAAACUUAAUGUUUGAGAGAGUAACUUUUACUGGUUUUCCUUGGUGCUGGUACUAACCCUGACUUCUUUAUUACUUAUCUUUACUUCUGCCACACUGUAGAAAUUGUCAGAAAAUAUAUUUCAAAAGCUUUCUUGUUUUGUUGUUUAUUGAAUCUUAUAGAAGGAAAAGCUUUUAAAAACAGUAACAGAAAAUAGAUCAUCAAAUGGAUAAAUAAGAUAGGAGCCUAUUCAAAACAACCAUGUUUUUACAUUAUGAUACCCUGUGUACUCUCACAGUGAAACCUUGAUUUGAAAUGUUGCCUUCACUUUGUGACACAGCAUAAACAUUCACUAUGUCAUUCAUGACUCCUUAGGUUCACUCAAUAAAUGGGGUUGCAAAACAACUUGAAUGGCAGACUCUGAGAACUUGUUUGGCUAUUCCUUACCUGCAAAACACACAUUGGGUUGAAAGUUGUUUGUUUUUGUCCUUAAUUUCUUUGGUUAUGGUUUGAUUCUUCUUAAUGCAUUUUAGUUGUUGAAAUAAAUUAAGCAAGUGUUUUAUUAAGUAAAUAAAUAUGAAAUGUUUCUUGAACCAGCAGUAAAAGAAAGAUGAGCUAUAACAGAGAAUCUGGAAGGAAAUGAAACAUUUGAAAUGUUAAGAGGCCAAGCAGCUUUCUCAGUACACAAUAGAUGUUUUCAUUUAAAUCAUGAUUUUCCUAUUUUUAUGAUGACAAGAAAACGCAGAUCCUUUCAACUGUCAUAUAAUUAUCUUUAAUGCUUUUCUAAUUUUGUCUUUCUUGGUUAAUGGUUUUAAUGCACAGACCAAUUACUUCACAUAUAGUAAGCUCCUAAUCAGCCUCUGUGUGUUUUGGAUCUGUGGCAUGAGUUGAAUAUUUUAUUAGGUUAAAGCUAACCAGAAACCUUUUUGUUUGCAUCCAAAAUAAUAUAUUUAUACCCUAUCUGAGAAUUAUUUUCUACCUUAGUAUGUAUAGACACAUUGAAUAUUAUUUGAUUUUUUUAUGUCUUUUUAAUCUUUAGAAUUAUCUGAUACUCAUUAUUUCAGAUAUCAGUGUUCUCCAUGCUAUAGAUUAAAUAUCAAAAUUUAAAUGAGUUUGACUGAAUAUGCAUGUAUAACACAUAACCUGGAGCUUGAAUUUUGAAACUGAAUCUUAAUAGGAUUGAGCUGUGGUCUUAAAAUAGAAAGCCAGAAAGAAGUUCCUAUCAUUCUGGAAUACCUGUAUAUACCACAUGAAAAAUAUAUUAUGACAUGACUUUAAAAUGUGUUUACAGGGGAUCUAUAUAAGUAUGCUAUUAAUGUAAAUUGUUUGGCCUUGGCUGUAUCUGCUCUGUUUUACUACCUAAAUGUGAAAAUGUUCCUCCUACAUAUUGUACAUGUGUUAAAAGAUUUGUCCACUUCUAGUACCAUCUAACUCACCACAUCCCUUGUCUACUUUUUAAAAAUCAAUAUAAAGAAAAACAGUACAUUAGCAUAAGCUUUGCAUAUAUGUACAUGUGUUUUUACUGAAAAUUAGGAGCUUGUAGCCUUUCGUAGACCUCUACCUGUCUGAUUGAUCAAUUGUCUACAAUGCUGCCAUGGAGACGAUGCUGUUUAUUCUCUCCUGCUUUGUCCUAACUGGUGUUUGAGAAAUGAGGCCUGUGAAUUUCCCUUUGUGAUAACUAUACAGUGAACUCAGCAGUCUCUUGACGAAUGAGCUGACCAUCUUGUCCCCUCCCUUGUUUUUUCUAUACAGUAAAUCAGAAAUCUUGUCCACGUUUGCUUCAGUAUUUACUAUUUUAUAUUCAUAUCUGAGCAUUUGUUUCCUGUUAGCAAUGCUUCGUGUGUGAAGCCCUUUUGGUUGAAUUGCUCCAAAUGCUGGUCAGCUGCUGCCACUUGGCAAAUGACAGGUGACUGCAGAAUCUCCUGCCCAUCCUUCCUAAUGAAAUUCUGCAACUGGCUGAGUAAUUAUAAAUGUCAUCUGUGCAGACACAUGGACUCAGGAUGGCUACAUAAUUUUAGACAUUUUUUCAAAAAAGGAAAAAAUGGUCUUGUAAAUAUUGAAACAGAUGCUUAUGAACUUUAUCCUACUCUUGGGGGGGGGCAAACUCUCCUUGGCAACAGAAAUCAAAUAAACUUGAUUUGCAAUGACCAAGGACCUAGACGGAGUGGAUGAAGGUGAGAAAAUUCUGUCUCACAAAUAACCAGAGGUCAUGACAACUACUUUUAACUGUGAACACUCACCAGCUAACCUACUCACUUGCCACAACCAAAAAACCUCUCUAAGUAAAUCCAAUACAUCUGUAUAUAUGUGUAGGUAGAAAUAACAAAAUAGCCUAAAAAAUUACUCUUAGGUAAUCAAAGUGGUGAUCAUUUUAAAGGACAUUUAAAUAACCAUGGGCCUUGCUGAAAUGACUGUGGAGGCCAGAAUGGUGCAACAAGGUGUUAUUUACAAGUUUGGUAUGUGUGUGUGUUUUUUAAGUCCCAGAUAUCUCAGAAACUAAUCAUGAGAAUAAAGACUGUUGAAUAUGAAAUCAAAGCCAAGCAAUAAUGUGCCAAAAAGAGGCAGUUAUACCAGCAAGUGCAAGUACUAUGGGCACACCACUCUAUAGUCAUGGUCUGCUCCGAGAAGACUUUAACCCACAGGAUAAAAGAUGUAACGGCUCAUUUCUCCUUUCUUACUGGAGAAGCUUGAUUAUGAGAUUAUUAAAGAGAUACAACACCCGUGAGCAUUACUAGGGAUAUGGUUAGCAGCCCAUACAGAAAAGGAGUCAGAAAGCCUUGCUAGCUUAAAACUCAAGACAGCUCCACCUGGAAACUUGGAGAAAUGGGGAAAUUAAACAUAUGGUAAUUACUCUUCCAGGACACUUGACAUGUAAAGCAAUUGGAUUAAUUCCGCCUGGAGGACUGCCCACCUUUGCUACGAAAACAUAGUUUUCCAAAUGUAAAGUAACUAAAACAUGAGUACUUAUAUCAAAAAGGGCCUCAAAUAAUGCCUUACAGAAAGAAAAGGAUGUUCCCGAUGGGCAUUCCUAAGUACUACUUCUUCAUCAAGUAUCUUGUUGAGUUCAAGCUCAACUCCACUGGCUGCAAAACAGUCGGAAUGAAAGUCACAUAAUUUGCACUUCAGUAAAAGGUACUGAUGAUCAGCCAGGGUGCUGAUAAUUAUGAUGAUACACCAGUGGUUUAAGUGUGUUAAGGAGAAUUACAUGGGAGAGAAACGCAGACUUCUCUUUUGAUUUCUUAAGAUGUGGGUAUGUCAUUCGCUUAUUUCUGGGGUGAAAAUUAUAGCUUGCUUUUUGACAUUGCUGCUAGCAUUACUCUUUAUUACUUUCAAAAUUAAAUUGUCUAUUCUUUAGAAAAACUUUUAAGCAGUUACAGAAUUUUUUUCUGGUUCUUAUCAAUGCUUUUAAUACCAAGUAAAGACUAUGUAUAGAGUAAAUAUAUUAAAUGAGUAAAAAAGCUUAUCCAGGUUUAUCAGUAAAUUUUAAUGAUUUUUUUAUUAGAUUCCUUAAUGUUCAUUUUAACUGCAUUUUUUGAGUAAAAUUAUUUUUCAUAAUGUUUUCCAUCAUAUCUUAAAGUGAUAUUGAUAAAUCAGGAGAUUGCAGUAUUAUAGUCAUACUCCUGAAUCCCUACAGGAGAGGAGAGACUAAUUCUUGUUUUAAGGGUAUCUUGAGAUACCUUAACUGAGGUUGAGAAAGGUCAAUGGGGCCUGAAAACUCAAGAAUACUUACUAACAAUUACUAAAUGUCUAAAUGUAUUUAUCUCUGCUGUAUUAAUAUGUUGUGAACAAUAUGUUGUGCAUAAUACUGUAGCUGGUCGUGGAAUGUCAAUACAUUCUGUAGAUGUGUAUGGUCUGCCAGUGGUUGGUUUUCUAUUUUUAUGUGUAGAAAAAAUUACAUGCCAUAUCCCAUUUUAAGGCCAAGUUCGGUCAUAAGGUAGGCACAUAUACAAAAAUGAAUAAAGCCAACAAAAGUGUGCAUGUGUAUUCAGUAACAGUCCUUUCCUUUUUGGAGGUCAGAAAGGGCUGUUGGUUUUUUUAAUCAUCUUCAAAAGUAGAUUACAUAAUUAUCACAAAGACUGAAUAUAGUAAUCAGUACAUUGGCAUGUUACUAAACAUGCCAGGGCUAAUUAACCAUGCCAUUAGUCACAGGUAAGGUCAGUUCUUUGACCACUGGGAUGAUUUACAUUCCUCACACAUCCUCUCCAUGUUAAGUGUGUGACUAGGAUAUACAUACUAUGGGUGUGAUUGUGUACAUACCUCGUAUGAAUUAUCUAAAUCCUCAAAGCAGCUAUGGGAAAGCAGGAAGAAGAAACCGCUGUUCAAAAGCCUCAAAAGGGCUAACCAAUGUGUAUUUUUAUUUUCUACACAUAAAAAUGUGUACACCACAUACUGUAAAUAGCUUGCAGACAUAAAUGCAUUUUAUUCAUACUAGUAUAUUUAAGUAAAUCACAAAACAACUCAUUGAAAACUGCAUCUUUCUAUGGCUGUUCUGUUUUACACAUACUAGUAUUAGUAUCAGGUCAGAUUCUCCAUUAAAUGGUAUUACUCUCUGGUAGCAGAUUUGGAAAAUUAGGAAAGCUCCACUGGGCCACAGAAAUCUACUUAGCAUCUUACUGAGGCACACCCUGUUCCAGAGCAGCUACAAAGGUUUAAUACUGUUUCUUUAAGCACCUAAUUUUAUAUCUGAAAAUGACAAAUACUGGGGAAAACCAAUUAUGUUUUGUAGACUCUGUUUGUACAUUUAUUAGUGUAUUUAUUUGCAUAGGCUGAUAAAAGCCCUACAUUUUUUUUAAAGGAUAUAUCCCUAGAUUUCAAGAGUGUAAUAAUCAUAUGAAGUGAAAAAUUAUUGUACACAUUCUUUUUUUUUUCUUUAAGAUUAGUCAAACAAUGUUUAGCAACACCAAAGAGAAGUUUAGAGAAAAAAAUUUGUUUUAAUUAUAGAUGAUGUUGGUAGGACAAUUGAAUAUGAACAAUUGUGAGUUCUUUAAGAUGGAUUCAAAUAAAUUACUAUUAUUAAUAAUAGGUGAUACUGUGUGGACUUGAUAACAAGAUUAUAGUCAUUAACUAGCAAAUGUCAACACUGGACAAUAUUUUUCAAUUUGUCACAAUUCCAAUCUGUGAACUGAUGUUGUUUGAGUUUCUCUCAUUUCUUCUGAAAGGAAAUACACUAUUAAAAUAAAAAAGUCUGAUCUGGUCCCUAAAACCUAAUAUGAUUUGACCCCAAUUCCUUGACAUUAAAACUUAUGUUGACUAAGUAUUUGGUUUAAGAUAUGAGGGGGAAAUAUCAGAAUUUUCCAUUAACAGAGAAUUCUGCAUGGUAAAGUACAAAUAUAACCACUUCUCACUAGAAAGUAAAUGAUGCCAUUUAAUAUGUAUUUGUAUUUUAGAGAAUGAAUGUGCCAUCAUUAUAUGUAAGAUAAAAAUAAAAGGUUAACCAACCACAAGAACACUAUAGUUACAACUACAGCUGGCUCUGUUUUUUAACUAAUAAAAACAUACUUGUUUAUAAGAACAGCA